rnacentral:rRNA from 1 species
UACGUAGGGUGCGAGCGUUGUCCGGAAUCAUUGGGCGUAAAGGGCGCGUCGGUGGCCUGUUAAGCGUGCGGUGAAAGCUCGGGGCUCAACCCCGAGUCGGCCGUGCGAACUGGGAGGCUGGAGCACUGUAGAGGCAGGCGGAAUUCCGGGUGUAGCGGUGGAAUGCGUAGAGAUCCGGAAGAAGACCGGUGGCGAAGGCGGCCUGCUGGGCAGUUGCUGACACUGAGGCGCGACAGCGUGGGGAGCAAACAGG